UGAAUUGAUGCUAAUUAUGUUGGGAUCUCCUAUCUGUGGCAACAGGAUGGUGCCCCGAGCCACAAGACCAAGGAUACCCAAAAGAAUGUGGACAACAUCAAAGCUACUUUGAACAGUGAGGGAACGGACAUACUAGAAAACUAUUUUGUCAAUGUCUACAAGCCCUUCAGCCCUCGAGUAGAGACUAUGUUUGCUCCUGGAGGAUCAUAUUUGACAUAGAAAAUAUAAUGAAUAGUUUGGUUUCUUCUGUCAAGUGUAACAAUUUUGCUCACGUGCAUUGUACAUAUACGGGGUACGUCUGCAUUACUAGCAAAAUCUACAUGUUUCCAAAUAAGCAAGCGAUGUUUAAAAAAGUCCUUUAUAAGUUUAAAAAGCUUAUCAAUAUUAAUAAAACAGAGUUUGUCUGUCUGGAUGGUUGAUGAUACCUCAUUUUCAAGUGUUCCUACUUGAUCAAAGAAAUAACAAUGUAGCAUAGAGUGUGUGUAUGUAGCUAUUGCUCAGUCCAUAACAUUUUGACACUCGUAAUUUUGCCGCAUGACAUAUUUGCCACCUUUUUAAGUUUUUAUAUUAUUGGUUCGAACUUAACUUUUGUUUCUCGUUCAGAUUAAUGACAUAACUAGGUUAAGAAGAAAAAUGAAACAUUGUAGUGAAAUAAUUAAUACUCGAACCAGUAAUAUAAAACAAAUAAAAAGACAACGAAUAUAUCAUGCGGCAAAAUCUUCUAUAGGCAAAAUUACCAACGGUGAAAAUAUUCGAGGCAAAAUAACCUAGAACCAUUGAAAUAGAUCAGAGGAGUACAUAUACGGUCAAACCCAGAUAAAGGGAACUGCUACUCUUCAUAUGAAAAGUUGACUAUAUCCGGAUUUUUUUUACCCAAAGUAUGUUUUAAAAAAAAACGUAAUUUUUGAAUACUUAUAUAUGUAAAUAAGUAAUUUUGAAACUCCCUAUUUCGAGGCAAUCCGUCUUUGAUUAGAUCCUUUUUGAACAUAUCAUAUAGGAUUUUUAGCUUAUCUUUCAGCAAAAGUGUUUUUUGGAGGGAUUUAUCCUAUGUAUCCACAUUGAUUGAAAAGCAAUAUGAAAUGAAUUAAUAGAGAAACAUACAGAACAAAAAAAUAUGGGCGCCAACUUAGGAUUUGAACCUAUAGAAAAAGGACAAAUCCUUCGGGGAAUUCUUCUUCUCAACUUUUAUGAAUUUCAUACAAAAAAAAAAAAAUUAUUUCAUGUUUCGUCCAUACGAAAUAUUUUAUGUAUUAAAAAACAGUACCUGAGAGAACGUUAAUUAUAAGUGUAUUUUCUUAAAUACAGAUUUGACUGUAUA
rnacentral:lncRNA from 1 species